CUCGGAGGGAGUAUUUCUUGCUGUACGGUGUCCGAAUGCGACAUAUCGCUGGUAUACCGCUCUUCGGGCACAUCAGCAUAUUAUAUGGAACUCAGACGAUUUAUUUCAAAUAUCAAAACAUAGAAAGAGCUUCCAUUGAAUUGAAAGCGCUCGUUUCAACGAUAUUCUAUCAGUUAGCACUCGGAACCAUAGAUCCCUCAAUCAGGCAAGUGCACGCGAGACCUUGACCUUUAUGAAACACGUCAGAAUUUAAACAAAUAUGGCGGACUCAGGAAAUUCGGAAGCGGGAAGCGGAUUUUUAUCCAAAUUUUUGUCUGAAUUAUUUGGAAGUCCGUUGAAUCUGGCUUUAGUAGGCGUUUGUUCAUUUCUUGUUUACAAAAUUUGGUCAAGCAGAAGGAAGCAUGACCCACCGACGCCUCGGGAACCUGAACUUCCACCCCUGAAAAAGCAAGAUUUCACACACGAGCAGUUGCGAGAAUAUGAUGGAAAAGCAAAGGAUGGACGUAUCCUGAUCGCUGUUAAUUGCAAAGUGUUUGAUGUCACUCGAGGAAAACGAUUUUAUGGCCCAGGAGGUCCCUAUGGAAUCUUUGCGGGCCGUGAUGCAUCUCGGGCCCUAGCAACAUUUUCCCUAGGAGAGGAGGCACUUAGGGACGACUACGAUGAUCUCAGCGAUCUCAACAGCAUGCAGAUGGACUCAGUCCGUGAAUGGGAGAUGCAGUUUACAGAAAAGUAUGUGUAUAUUGGUAAGCUCUUGAAGCCUGGGGAACUGCCCACCGAGUACACAGACACGGAGGACGAGGUCAACGAGGACAGUAAAGACAAGAAGGAGAAGAAGACGGACUGAUUGUGUGUGUUCCUGACAAGUUGGAUGCUGCCAUCAAAAUAUAGGGUCUCUGCCUGUCAUGGCGGCAGCAGCAUCAACUGACUGAAUGAAUGACUGACCAACCCGGCCUCUGCCUACACCGGACUCUCCAUCCCGGCACUCACGGAAGGAUCUACUUGUUAGGGUUGGAACGAUUCGUGAAGGUGCAUUGCGAUAUUUAGUGCCACGAUAAGGUUGUGUAUAUCUGUACAAAGUACAACAUACAAGUAUUAUGCUUAUAGAGUCAGGUGAACUGGUAUGCAAUAAUGAAAAUGAAUAAAUAUAUUGUUUUUCAGAGUAUUGAACCUGUUAUCUCAAUGGGGGCUGAGGGGCAGUGGGUAGUCUUGUGGUUAAAGUGUGUUUUGGUCUCGCUGUAGCUCAGGGUUUGAUUCCCCACAUUGGUACAACGUGUCUAGCCUAAUUCUGGUGUCCCCCGCCAUGUUGGUGCUGGAAUAUUGCUAAAAGAAGAGCUUAACCAUAAACACUUACUCGGGAUGAGGCUCUUGUCAAUCAGAGUCUUGGCAAGUUUUGUCCAGUGAUUCAAAACCCACCUUGUGUGUAGAACCAAAUUGAGUUGAGUUCUGUUUGUAUCGUAGCAUGGAUCGUAUCAUGACCUUUUACUUUUUGUAUCGUGACCUUAUCAAGUAUUGUAUCGCCACUAAGUUGGUUUCAUUGCAAUCUUGUUAAAAUCAGAUCUUUUAGUCUUCAAUAACUCUCUCAAUAACGAUUUGACUAACCCUCCAUAAGUGCAAAGAGGUCAUGCUAGGUGGAUUUAAUCAGCUAAUCAGAAUAGAGGCUUCUGAAUUCUCGGAAUGAGUGAGAGAGCAUUCAGAAUGACUAAUGUUAAUUUUGUAUCUCCAGAAAGAAUGCUGAAGAUAUUUCAAUAUUUCUCCCUGCUCAGAGAGGUAUUGAAUCGUGUAUAAGAUCUGAUUUUAAUGAGGUUGUGAAUCGUUCCAGCCCACGUUCAAGUUGGUGUUGAUUUUGUCUAGAAGUGUUAGUUUGUGUAAUAGCAAGAGUUUUUGCAAACAUGAUGCAUACAAUGUCAGUUGGAACCUCUCUGUGUGUUUGUCUUUGCUAGUACAGACAGGAGACAGUCCUGCCGAGCCGUUUGUUGUGUGGGCUGCCUUAUCAAAUAAGGUGCCCAGCAACUGGAGUAUGUUCAUAUUUUGGCAGUUCAGUUUCCCUGUAAGUAUAUUUUUAAUAUUUAAGAAGGUAGGAUGAUUGGUCAUUUUAAAUGGAUCUGUUUUGUAGGAUAUCAUGAUCAUAAUUUGGACUUCACAUUAUGACACAGUAAUAAUAUAUCAGUCUGACGCAAGAUAAUAUUUUUGAUCUUACAUGUUACUGUGGCUCAGGUUUCCCUUUGUGCUAAAAACACCUGCAAGAACUCUUUCUUCCUUUAGUCAACUCGUGAAAACUCUGCAGGUCUCAACCAAUUUCAGUUUGUUGACUGAAUCAUUUGUUUUUGGCCUUACCUGCUUAACAUUAAACCUUAAGAAUUGCUGUGAUCACAGCAAUUGGGGACAGAAAACGGUUCACAUGUGAUGGAUGAAUCCAUUGCCAUUGAACAAGGGACAGAGGUGGAUGUGAUGUGGUGUUCAUGUAGAAGUAUUUGUAAAUGCAAACUGAUAUAUGGAUACCUGUCACCCCUUCUGCUGUUUUCAAUAAUCGCAGGUUUGUAAUAAGUUUUUCAAUUGACUAAAACAAGUCUAAGCAUCUUUUUUGUCAUUACUACUUUUUGUAACCUUUCACCUUUCAAGAAUUUGGACGAAAGGAUGGUUAUCCUUUUUGUGUGUACCUAGCAGUGUUUGAAAUUAAGAAUGAAAGGAAAGGUUCUUGUCAUUACCCUGAUGUUACAAAUCAAACUGUUAGAGGGUUCCCAGAUUAGAGUGUAGUAGCAGUGAACUGUACGGAGCCCCUUCUAUUUCUAACGGUCUUGUGAAAACGACAUUCAUUGUGUUUAAAGGGGUGACAGACAAGGGCAUCAUUCCCAAUAAUGAUCUGGAGCUAAGACUUUUGUAAGUCAAAACUGAGCCCACAAUAAAUUUAGAUUUUCAUCUUCAUUUCUCAUAUGUGAGACAGGAGGCUUUUUGUUUUACAUUAUUCAUUUUUAAUCAAAUUAUUCAAGCUAUCUCUAUUAACUGUCGGGAUGUGAUUCACAUCUCAUUAAUGUUUGAUAGGACUAUGUAUAUGGUGUAUUUCAUCAAGUAACGUAGGAAAGUAACAUUGCGAUUUUCUUUACUUGUACUUAGGACAUUUUCAUGAGAAGAUGAAGGCUGUGUCUCGCAAGUGACUCAUGUUACUAAACCCAGGUUAGAAACUAGCACUGGUCCUGUAGUCCUUGCCAAAUUUCCCAAUAGUUAAGGUAUCAUAAGGACUAGUAGAAAUGUUCAAUUUUUAAGGGUUUUGCUAUACGUUCUCAUUAUAAGGUUUAGCGCGCUAAAAAUGUUAGUUUCUAACACUGCUUACCUGUCUUAAAGGUUGCAGACAAAUGUUUAUAUGUACAUGCUGGAGAAGAUAAAAUAUUGUUUUUCUUAGAUUUACUGGGACCAAAACUUCUUCCCUUGCCUAUGUUUGUCACAUUCAUUUUCUCUCUUUUUCUUCUUGUCUUUACUUAGAAGUUUGAAGCAAUUGUAAAAAAACUAAUAUCACCCUUUUGGUAGAGGGAAUUCAACAAAUAGAACCUCUACUAUGAUUGGUUUGUUCUCUGAGAUGAACCAAUCAAAUAUUUGCUUAUGUUAACACGACACGGAAUGAAAUCAGUUAAGAUUUAAAAAGCUAAAAAAACCUUUUUAAUACAGUAAAUCUAUACUGACAUUACAUAAAUGCAGUACCAGCCACACUAUGUCAGACCCUGGAUGCUGGGUGUUCAGUAGAGAGGUGGGAUGAAAAUCUAAUUAUUUAUUAUGGCUUAAAGUAUACAAGUUACAAUCCUCUUAACGUUAAGAUGUGUGGAACGGGGCCCAAUUCUGUUUUUCUUUUCCAUUCCUUUUCUGUUUAUUAUUUAUAAGGUGCUUUUUGCAAUUAGGACUGUAAACAAUAUUCUGACGCAAACAAUAUUUUUGUCAUGGAGUGAUUGUUGUAUAUAUAGACAUGUCCACAUUAUUGUACAUUGUACAGCAUAGUACAAUAACGGUUAAUUGUUGGUGAAUCGCCUGUUAUAUUGACAUAAUGCACUUGCCGUUUGACAGAGUCAAGAAGUGUAAUCAGCUUGCUAUACAGGACGUGUUUUGUGUUGAUGCUAUCGUUCGACUCAAUACAUGAUGGCUGACAAUUAGUUGUGUGUCAGUAUUGUUGAUAUAUUAAAUAUUGAUUGGCACAUAUGUCAUUUAAUAUGUCAUUUACAUGUAGAUUUAGUCCAUGAAUAAUUGAAUAAGAGUUUGAAUCAAUGCCUUGCAAAAGAUCGUGUUCCCAUGGAAACAGCAACCUGGUUUUAUGUAAACUAUAUAGUGGUUGUGAAAAGACACACAGUCAUGGAUUUACAUGAACAAAUGGAUCAUUGUUUAACUAUCUUAGGCCACUUUUGGAAUAAUAAGUUACGAUAAUGUUAGUUUUCCUCAAAAAGUAGUUCUGGUGGAUACACUGCUUGAGCUGUGGGUUAUUGUCAAACUCUUGGUGUCUGCUCUUGAUGCAGCUUGAAGUAGGGAGGAGAAUCUAAGACCAAUUGUUGUAUUAUACAGGGUAUAUCAUGAUAAUAUUCCUGAUAAAGUUUGGUGAUGAUGCUAAAAGGUCCAAAGACAAACAAUUGUUGAUGUCUUUGGUUACUUUAUUUACCCAAGGUUCUAUACCACUGCUAAGGAUGUUAUUACAAGGAUCGGGUUAGCUCCGUUUUCAGGUUUGAGUCUCUCUAUUGAGUGGAGGUGGGUUUUGGUGUAGCAUCCAAACAUUUAAAAAGUGAAACUCUGUUUAUCCAGAUACUUUUAAUGGUAUCUGAAUCUUGAAACCAAAUCUCUGGAUUAACAAGCCAAUUUGUGAUAAAAUAUUCACCUGCCAAUGAUUGACCUUAUAGGGAGGAUUCUGGAUUCUGAAUGGGUCAUACUGCAAUUAUUAAUUUAUGUGCUUAAAAUUAUAUGAAGGAUAACCAGGGCUCCUUUCCACAAGACGAUCAUAGUGCUAGGACUGUUGUUAAGUCUAUGUUAAAGUAUAGGAGUUAUGAUCAUCUUAGUGCUGCGAUGACCUUAAGCCUAUAUUAAGGUAUUGGAGUUACGAUCAUCUUAGUGCUACAACGAUCCUAAGCCUAUGUUAAGGUAUGGGAGUUACGAUCAUCUUAGUGCUAUGAUGACCUUAAGCCUAUGUUAAGGUAUGGGAGUUACGAUCAUCUUAGUGCUACGAUGACCUUAAGCCUAUGUUAAGGUAUGGAGUUAUGAUCAUCUUAGCACUACAAUCGCUUUGUGGAACGGGCCCAGGACACAAGAAAUUAUUCCUGAUUAAUGCUUAGUUUUAAAACAGUUGGACCUGUCUUGACUGAUAACAUGAUAACACUCCUAUUUGUAGUCGACAUGAUUCAGCUGUUCUUUCAGACUUGUAGAUACAAAAUCAACAUGUAUUUUUUUAGUGGAGUAUAUUUAGUCAGCGAUAUAUUUGAUUCUUGAGAUAAUCAUCCUUAUUGCAUCACAUCAUCUUCAUCAACAGCAAGGCUGACACUUUGUAGUAGUAUGUGAGACUGUCUUGAAAAAGUGCAGUAUUAUGUGGUCACAUGGCAAAGUAUGCACUGAUCGAGGGAGACCGAUCUAGAUCAUUUUAAUACUUUGUAAUACUUCACUUGUUUGUCAUCGCCAGUACUUUGCGGGUUUGUGUACCCUGUUCCUCCAUCCUUCAUGAACAUGUACGACAGCUCUGUGAUGUCCUCCUGCAAUGGCCUGGUUCAAGUGAAAAGGGACCCAUCGAGAACUCAGACAAUGUUAUGCGGUAUACUCGCUACGAUUAAACAACAAACCAACAAUGACCUGGUUCCAGGGACAGUACCCAGAGAGUUCUCAGACCAAUGUGUGUUCAGUUUCCAUCUCCGAACUUGCAAGUUUCUUGCACGAAAAUUGACUUCCAUGAGUUAAAAGCGGCUCAGUUCAUUACGUUGCUGAAAUAGACAAUCAUCACUACAUCUCCUAUGGGUGUUUUCGUGGGUGAUGGAGGAUUGGACCGGUUGUGUGUGCUAACCCAUGAAGUAGUGAUAUGUAUACUAAUCAGUGAAGUAUUGAUAAUGCUUGUUUGCCUCAUAGCCUCAUUUAUUUUGUAGCCUUGUAUGAAUGACAACCCAUAGGACCCCGCUACUUAGGGAGCAUCUGUGUAACCCGUUGGUUGGGCUUGGUUUUUGGUGUGCUGGAAUUUUUAGAAAAGAAGUGUAAUAUACCGGAACAAAAUAGUUGAAAAAUAUAUAUAAUUGUUCUCCAACAAAAGAAAUCUCACCACCCCACUCAUCCCUACCAUGGUGAGUGGUGACCAAAGCCUCUAAACUGCUUUUUGGGUCAAGUCUUUGAAUGGCAUUUAGAAGAGAUACACUAAGGAAGAGAAUUUAUGGAUGUCAACUUCUUUUUUGAGUACCAACGUUUCGGAGUAUAUACUUACUUGUUCCUUUACCUGAUGAAGGAGUAAGUAUAUACUCCGAAACGUUGUGUUCCUCAAUAUAAAGGAGAUGUCAUUCAUAAAUUCUCUUCCUUAAUUUUUGUGUGCUUCUAAAGAACAUUUAGGUUGAAAUGUGUGAAAUCUUUUCAACAGCAGUAUGGCUGCAUUGUGUACACAUUACUGAAGAGGCGUUCGAAUGUUUUGUAUUGAAUGCAAGUGUUUUUGGUUUUUUAAAAAAGUCUUCCAGAGAUUAGCCUAUUACUAUAAAUAAAGGAUUGGGAUGGUACUUUCUGAGAUUUGAAUAUUUAGCAAAGUUGAAAUUGUGGGUUUUCAGAGCACAACUAUAAAUAGGCUUUAAAUAUUGAGGACUGUUUUGAAAAGGCAUUGAAAAUGGAUAUGGUUCUUUGAAUUUACCUUCCAAUUCCUCAAGUUAAUAGCCUAAAAAUAAAUUUACCUUUGCAUAGCUUGAAAUAAACAAAUUGUUGAGAUCUGUUAGCUAAAGAAAAGAAUGUGUAUCUGUAUUAACAAGCAAGUGUAAUGAUAUUAGUUUCUGGGGUGGGGGAAAGCCUUGAAAAAUCCUUGAAGUUUGUGAUCUUCUAUAUUAAUCCUGUUAUUAAUUAUGCUGUAAGGGCUCAGAGGGCAGUACCUAUUUGUGCUGGCAUUUGAUUGGAUGUUUAAAUUGAUGCAGCAUCUGACUGGGUCAGUAAGUUUCACCAUAGUACUUGAAAGCUGUUGAUGGUACAAUUUAUCAUACUUACAUUGCUACUUUGUUGGAAGACUAACAGGGACAUCAUAGCUCUGACUUCUAAACUUCCAUGGCAAUUGAGAGAACUCACUACACACUGGGAAUAACUGCUUUUCUCGCAAUAUGUAACCAUUAUUAAUAUGAUCAGUAAUUUCUUGGAACGUUAUUAAUAUGUAGUACAUUUUAUCCAAAGGGAACCAACCAUUCUGAGAAACGAAGGUGCAGACAGACAGAUAGUUUAUAAAACUCUCAUUUUAUGAUUUAGACCAUCAGAAAUUGUACUAUUUGUGUUGUUUGACUAGAUGUGUUAUUAUAAGUUUCUUGACAAACCAGCUCAAGCAGAACACAUCAGUUGAAAACAUCUACAACUGACCUCAUUUCACAAAGGUGUGUUUGAAUUGUACAUUGUUUUAGUUAUGAAGCAAGGCAUCAUCACUGAACACUUGUUGUAAUAUUUGUUUCACUAGAAGUGUUAUGAAGCCCGAUGACGAGCAGGAUGGAUGAAAUUGUAUGGAUGACGUUGUAUAGCUUUGCUAAACAGAUUCCAUGUAGUGCAUCAGGCACAUUGGUUAUGUCUUCUUUCUAGUCUCAGCCAAACUUUCAUCCCCAUUGAGUGUACAUUAUGUAUCAUACGUCCAGUAUACCAUAUGUACCACAGUGUGUAUUACUGUAAAUAUUGUAUGAUUUGCUUCAUUCUUGAGGAUAUAUUUUCAUGAUAAACUAAUUGAUAUCAUGGUAAA